AGGAUAAAAUAGGUAUUUCACUCUCAUUUUUGGAAGCCCCAUAUAUUUUUACAUGUGGGUAUAAAAUGUGUCAUGAACCCCAAUUAGUUUCCACGGCCCCAAUUCAGCCCUAUUUUUUUAUUAUUCUUUUUUUUUUCUGCUCUGUUUGAAACAAAAACUUUAUCCUUCUCCGAUCACUCUACUACACCUCUUCCUGUAACAACCACCAGCACCCUCCUCCUUCAAUUCCAGCAACACCAUUACGUUCUAAUUUCACCAUCACCACCAAUUUCAGAAUCCACCAAUUCCACAACUCGGGUUUCAUCCUUAAUUUUGAUUUCACCUCUAAUCGGGAUGACGAGAUGAUCAGUAAUUUUCACCACCACCACUACACCAUCAGCACCAGCGUCACUAGCUCAAUCUACUUCAGCAAAUAAAUGAUGCACAACCCACUGCAAAUUCCAGAAAGAGGCUUUUCAGUUUUCACGUCAUCCUCCAGAGCAUAAGCAAGGGACUUCCCAUCAAUAAUUAACGCAAAUGCAUCUGAACUUCCACUUGAUGUUUCUUCCCUUCAGUUAUCUGAUGGAUUCUACUUUCUUUUGAUACCUGAAAGAAAGAAAGCGUCACUGAUCGGUAAGGCCUCGGUGCUACGUUUAAAGGAGAUGCCCAAACUUAAAACACUAAAGAGCCCAAGAUUAAAACACUAAAGAGCCCCGACCCUCGGUGCUACGUAUGGAUUCUACUUCUACCUGAUGUUAUCCCUACUUAACCACUUUGGGAUAAGAGGUAUGUAGUUUUAAUCUUAAAGGUCUCGGUGCUAUGUAAGGGGAUGCCCAAGUUUAUUAAGAUCCACAUGUACUCAUUUUUCUUCCAUGUGGGACUGUCCCUACCUAAAUAUUUGUGGUUUAUCGCGCCAUAUACUCCAACAAUCUCCAUCUUGACGAGAUUUAAGUACUUCA